rnacentral:misc_RNA from 1 species
GCAUAACCAAAAAUCUCGUCUCAUACGACUCGUUGCAAUGGAAGGAGAUUUUCCAUUCUAUGGAGAAAUUGAGACCCAGCCGGCCAACGCCUACGCACUUAUGAAGCAGGGUGGCUAUGCGAUGCUUGACGAAACGCUGGCAAGCCAGUAUGAGGUAAGCUCUGAUGACUCACUACGCGUUGGCAAGAGUACAUUCAAGGUUGCCGGUGUCGUGACGCGC